AAAAGAUGGAUGUAAGAUCUAAGGCUAAUGUCAAGAACAUCUCAUCUGACAUCAGUAAAUCCAACCGUGUUGGAAGAAGAACAAGGUCAGAUGAUAAGCCCAAAGAAGGAAAAGAAGUAUAGUGCUAUGAAUGUGAUGGGUAUGGACACAUUAGAACUGAAUGUGGAACUUACCUCAAGAAGUAGAAGAUGAGUCUUGUUGCCACUUGGUCUGAUGAGAGU
rnacentral:lncRNA from 1 species